rnacentral:lncRNA from 1 species
GGCAGAAUCAAUAUUCUAAAUCUAUGUAAAGCAUUACUCAAAAAUAUUGAAUACAUGUAUAAAAAGAGAAAUUUGAUAAAAAAAAUUACUCUUAGCUGGAUUGAAUUUCGGAGAAAAGUUGAAUCUUGGUGGGAAAAUUUACGUACAUGAAAAAACCCCAUUGAGUUUUUUUUUAUAUGUAAAAGAUCACCGACUUGUUUAUUUUCCUA